rnacentral:rRNA from 1 species
ACGGCUCAGUAACACGUGGAUAACCUGCCCUUGGGUCCGGCAUAACCCCGGGAAACUGGGGAUAAUUCCGGAUAACGCAUAUGUGCUGGAAUGCUUUAUGCGUAAAAUGGAUUCGUCUGCCCAAGGAUGGGUCUGCGGCCUAUCAGGUAGUAGUGGGUGUAAUGUACCUACUAGCCGACAACGGGUACGGGUUGUGAGAGCAAGAGCCCGGAGAUGGAUUCUGAGACAUGAAUCCAGGCCCUACGGGGCGCAGCAGGCGCGAAAACUUUACAAUGCGGGAAACCGUGAUAAGGGGACACCGAGUGCCAGCAUCAUAUGCUGGCUGUCCAGGUGUGUAAAAUACACCUGUUAGCAAGGGCCGGGCAAGACCGGUGCCAGCCGCCGCGGUAACACCGGCGGCCCGAGUGGUGAUCGUGAUUAUUGGGUCUAAAGGGUCCGUAGCCGGUUUGGUCAGUCCUCCGGGAAAUCUGAUAGCUUAACUAUUAGGCUUUCGGGGGAUACUGCCAGACUUGGAACCGGGAGAGGUAAGAGGUACUACAGGGGUAGGAGUGAAAUCUUGUAAUCCCUGUGGGACCACCUGUGGCGAAGGCGUCUUACCAGAACGGGUUCGACGGUGAGGGACGAAGGCUGGGGGCACGAACCGGAUUAGAUACCCGGGUAGUCCCAGCCGUAAACGAUGCUCGCUAGGUGUCAGGCAUGGCGCGACCGUGUCUGGUGCCGCAGGAAAGCCGUGAAGCGAGCCACCUGGGAAGUACGGCCGCAAGGCUGAAACUUAAAGGAUUGGCGGGGAGCAC